AUCUGCGAUAAGCGCCGGUAAGGUGAUAUGAACCGUUAUAACCGGCGAUACCCGAAUGGGGAAACCCAGUGUGACUCGUCACACUAUCAUUAACUGAAUCCAUAGGUUAAUGAGGCGAACCGGGGGAACUGAAACAUCUAAGUACCCCGAGGAAAAGAAAUCAACCGAGAUUCCCCCAGUAGCGGCGAGCGAACGGGGAGGAGCCCAGAGCCUGAAUCAGCAUGUGUGUUAGUGGAAGCGUCUGGAAAGGCGCGCGAUACAGGGUGACAGCCCCGUACACAAAAGCGCAUGUGCUGUGAGCUCGAUGAGUAGGGCGGGACACGUGGUAUCCUGUCUGAAUAUGGGGGGACCAUCCUCCAAGGCUAAAUACUCCUGACUGACCGAUAGUGAACCAGUACCGUGAGGGAAAGGCGAAAAGAACCCCGGCGAGGGGAGUGAAAAAGAACCUGAAACCGUGUACGUACAAGCAGUGGGAGCCCCACCACUAAGCCAGUGGUGAACUCCACAUACGCAUCCUUUGCUGAGGAUACGGUUAACGGAGCGAAAGCGACGUUCAACCGCAAAAGAAGCAGAGGGGGCUUAGUGGUGGGGUGACUGCGUACCUUUUGUAUAAUGGGUCAGCGACUUAUAUUCUGUAGCAAGGUUAACCG
rnacentral:rRNA from 1 species